ncrna:unclassified sequences RAGATH-18 RNA
CCUCCGGAGCGUUACACCAAACGUUACUAGCUACGGCGAGGACGGACGCGGUGAACGAGGAA